UACGGGGGGGGUAAGCGUUGUUCGGAAUUACUGGGCGUAAAGGGCUCGUAGGCGGCCAACUAAGUCAGACGUGAAAUCCCUCAGCUUAACUGGGGAACUGCGUCUGAUACUGGAUGGCUUGGAUUCGGGAGAGGAAUGCGGAAUUCCAGGUGUAGCGGUGAAAUGCGUAGAUAUCUGGAGGAACACCGGUGGCGAAGGCGGCAUUCUGGACCGAUAUUGAUGCUGAGGAGCGAAAGCCAGGGGAGCAAACGGG
rnacentral:rRNA from 1 species